UUGGCGCGUCGUGCCCUAGCCGUCUCUCCCCAAUCGCCGCGCACUCCCUCUCUCCAAUCCCUGCUCUGCUCGUUGCCUUCUCCUCCCCCAAUCCGCCAAUCGUGGAUAGCUGGUGUUCCUCACCCCGAAGCUCCAUCUCCCGCCGCCUCCUCCUUCCUUGCUCCCGCUCCCGCCGCCCAUCUUCUAUCCGACGAGCCGUCGCCGGUCUCCUCUCCGGCGGGCGCCAUCAGCCGCGUCUUCCCACUCCGGGUGCGGCAGCAGUCGUACGACAGCAGGACCUCCUCAUGGUAUGACGAGGCAGCGAUGUGCAGAGGACCUUAUCUCCUCCGAUUUGUGGACACAGCAGCCCAGCGUUGCAGCCCCACUCCAGCCGCCGCCUCGCCCUCCUCCCCUAAGGUUUCUGAGGCGCUUCUGCCCUCCCCCCCUUCAUCCUGCUCAGCAAAGGAGGGAGGAAGUGCAGCAAGAACGCGGGAGGGACGAGGUCCGGCGGUGCGGCACCUCGGGGAGCUCGUCCACCACCGUAUCUCCUCUGAUUUGUGGGCGCAGCAGCCCAACGUUGCAGCCCCACUCGAGCCGCCACCUCGCCCUCCUCCCCUAGGCUGAAUACAAGGUUUGUCGUACGGAUAUAUGAAACAUGUAGAUACACUAUGGAAAUCAUGGAAGGGUAAGAACUAAAGAGAAGAGUCUCCGUGUUGUUGAGGAUAUCAGAAUUGGUCCCCUAGAUUUUGUAUUAUUAAGAUAAAGAGAAGGAUCUGAAGCUACAACCCCUUCUAACAUUUUAUUGUCUGUAGGACAUGGUGCACUCUCUUGGUUUAAAUAGAUAAUUAUCCAGUUUUAAAACUUAAUUGUACUGCUCCUUGGUCGUACGGAUUCAUUGGCACCUUUGCUUUGUGCAGUUCUAAUUUCAGUAUACAUAUUUAUUUGUCGGUUCUGCUUUUCGAUGUUCAGAUUUAGGUUUGGCUUUCAUCUACCUUGAGACCGGCCAUGACACCUGGUUUGCUGACCAAUAGCAUGGGGGCUACAUGUCGAGGAUCUGAUUAUAUGAAAUUUUGCUUAUCAGUUUUUUUGACAGGAUGUUAUUUUUAAUCUGCUAAAUGGUUCAACAGUUGAGAAAUCCGAUGCUUUGAUAAGAGAGAGAGAGGGUACACAAAUUGUUGCAGGCCGAGGCAGCGCCUGACACCGGUAAAAUUUGCUUCUUUCCAUGUACUACUCAUGAAGGGAGCAUAGGUUUCUCAUACUGGAAGUUGCAGAAAAAAUUCAGGUUAUGAAUUAGGGCAGAUGUUUAAUCAUUAAACAGAAGAUUCUGCUAAAGUAGGUACAUUAUUUACGCCAGCCAAUGCAUCCUUUAUGCACUUCUUGUUUCUGCAGAUGGUUGGAAUGCAGGAACAGGCACUUAAAGAAGCCAUUGAGGUCGUUUACAGUAAGGGUGUCUCUGUCAGUUCGAGUGAUGAGUUACUCGCCACCUUCUAUGACAAUAUUUUGAAGAUAGGCUUCGGUGAAAAGGUUACUUGCACUGAUAAAUGGAGAUUGCACUCCAUUUUAUGGUCUUCUUUUGUAAAGAUUGAGCCAAUAUGCCAUCUUCAAGUCAGGGUCAUUCUUGAGAGUAAUUAUGUGAAGUUACAAAAAGUCGGUUCGGAAGAGUAGCCGCAGUGAUAAAGGGUAGGACUUUCUGCAGCGGAAAAUAUGUUUAUAUCUAUUUUUGGAUAAGAGUGCACAUGGUUAGUAUUUUAGAUAUAUACAUUCACUAGCUACAUUGAUAUCUCUGAAGUGGAUGAAAAUCCCAGAUAAAACAUGGGUGAAGGAUCAUGAUGUCAUUGCUCUUGCAGAUUUCAUUAAAUCAAAUUUACCAACAUCAAAAUUAUUCCUUUUAUAGAUGGUCCGACUUAUGUAGAUGUUGCUUUUGUUGUUCCUUGCUUGUUUAUGUUGAUCUUGACAUUGUCAUUGAGUGUUUUGCUACUAUAAUAUAUUCCUUUUUUUUGGAGUGAACUAUAA